rnacentral:rRNA from 1 species
UAGACUGGGACAACUAUUGGAAACGAUAGCUAAUACCGGAUAACAGCAUUAACUGCAUGGUUGAUGUUUGAAAGUUGGUUAUGCUAACACUAUGAGAUGGCUUUGCGGUGCAUUAGCUAGUUGGUGGGGUAAAAGCCUACCAAGGCGACGAUGCAUAGCCGACCUGAGAGGGUGAUCGGCCACACUGGGACUGAGACACGGCCCAG